rnacentral:rRNA from 1 species
AUUGAACGCUGGCGGCAUGCCUUACACAUGCAAGUCGAACGGUAACGGGCCUUCGGGUGCCGCCGAGUGGCGAACGGGUGAGUAAUACAUCGGAACGUGCCCGAUCGUGGGGGAUAACGAGGCGAAAGCUUUGCUAAUACCGCAUACGAUCUACGGAUGAAAGCAGGGGACCGCAAGGCCUUGCGCGGACGGAGCGGCCGAUGGCAGAUUAGGUAGUUGGUGGGAUAAAAGCUUACCAAGCCGACGAUCUGUAGCUGGUCUGAGAGGAUGAUCAGCCACACUGGGACUGAGACACGGCCCAGACUCCUACGGGAGGCAGGAGUGGGGAAUUUUGGACAAUGGGCGCAAGCCUGCUCCAGCCAUGCCGCGUGCAGGAUGAAGGCCUUCGGGUUGUAAACUGCUUUUGUACGGAACGAAAAGCCUUCUUUUAAUACAGGAGGGUCAUGACGGUACCGUAAGAAUAAGCACCGGCUAACUACGU